rnacentral:tRNA from 1 species
GGCCGGUUGGUGUAAUGGGUGAACACGUUCCCUGGAAGGGGAGAGUUCCUGGGUUCGAUUCCCGGGCCGGCGG